GUAUCUGUAGGUUAGUGUGUAGGUUAGUGUGUAUCUGUAGGUUAGUGUGUAUCUGUAGGUUAGUGUGUAGGUUAGUGUGUAUCUGUAGGUUAGUGUGUAGGUUAGUGUGUAUCUGUAGGUUAGUGUGUAGGUUAGUGUGUAUCUGUAGGUUAGUGUGUAUCUGUAGGUUAGUGUGUAGGUUAGUGUGUAUCUGUAGGUUAGUGUGUAGGUUAGUGUGUAUCUGUAGGUUAGUGUGUAUCUGUAGGUUAGUGUGUAUCUGUAGGUUAGUGUGUAGGUUAGUGUGUAUCUGUAGGUUAGUGUGUAGGUUAGUGUGUAUCUGUAGGUUAGUGUGUAUCUGUAGGUUAGUCUGUAGGUUAGUGUGUAUCUGUAGGUUAGUGUGUAUCUGUAGGUUAGUGUGUAUCUGUAGGUUAGUGUGUAUCUGUAGGUUAGUGUGUAGGUUAGUGUGUAUCUG
rnacentral:lncRNA from 1 species